rnacentral:tRNA from 1 species
AGAAUCGUUAGGAUUCGUGUUUCGGCCACGAAUGAGGCCGGAGGCCCGAUUCUU